UGGGGAAUUUUGGACAAUGGGCGCAAGCCUGAUCCAGCCAUGCCGCGUGAGUGAAGAAGGCCUUCGGGUUGUAAAGCUCUUUCGGCGGGGACGAAACGGUUCGCACUAAUACUGCGGACUAAUGACGGUACCCGCAUAAGAAGCACCGGCUAACUACGUGCCAGCAGCCGCGGUAAUACGUAGGGUGCAGGCGUUAAUCGGAAUUACUGGGCGUAAAGCGUGCGUAGGCGGUCUGUUAAGACAGGUGUGA
rnacentral:rRNA from 1 species